AGAGUUUGAUCCUGGCUCAGGAUGAACGCUAGCGGCAGGCUUAAUACAUGCAAGUCGAGGGGUAGCAUGAUUGUAGCAAUACAAUUGAUGACGACCGGCAAACGGGUGCGGAACACGUACACAACCUUCCUUCAAGUGGGGAAUAGCCCAGAGAAAUUUGGAUUAAUACCCCGUAACAUAACGAUAUGGCAUCAUAUUGUUAUUAUAGCUACGGCGCUUGUUGAUGGGUGUGCGGCUGAUUAGGUAGUUGGCGGGGUAACGGCCCACCAAGCCUUCGAUCAGUAGCUGAUGUGAGAGCAUGAUCAGCCACACGGGCACUGAGACACGGGCCCGACUCCUACGGGAGGCAGCAGUAAGGAAUAUUGGACAAUGGACGCAAGUCUGAUCCAGCCAUGCCGCGUGAAGGAUUAAGGUCCUCUGGAUUGUAAACUUCUUUUAUAGGGGACGAAAAAAGGGCAUUCUUGCUCACUGACGGUACCCUAGAAUAGAC
rnacentral:rRNA from 1 species